UACCCGUAAUGUACAUAGCUUGAG
rnacentral:miRNA from 2 species